UACGUAGGGUGCAAGCGUUUGUCCGGAAUUAUUGGGCGUAAAGAGCUCGUAGGCGGUCUGUUGCGUCCGCUGUGAAAACCCGGGGCUUAACCCUGGGCUGGCAGUGGAUACGGACAGACUAGAGGUAGGUAGGGGAGAAUGGAAUUCCCGGUGUAGCGGUGGAAUGCGCAGAUAUCAGGAGGAACACCGAUGGCGAAGGCAGAUCUCUGGGCCGUAACUGACGCUGAGGAGCGAAAGCGUGGGGAGCGAACAGG
rnacentral:rRNA from 1 species